rnacentral:rRNA from 1 species
GAUGAACGCUAGCGGGAGGCUUAACACAUGCAAGUCGAGGGCAUCACGAGGUAGCAAUACUUUGGUGGCGACCGGCGCACGGGUGAGUAACACGUAUGCAACCUACCCUGUACAGGGGGAUAACCCGGAGAAAUUCGGACUAAUAUCCCAUGCAAUUAUUGGAGGGCAUCCUUUGAUAAUUAAAGCUCAGGCGGUAUAGGAUGGGCAUGCGGAACAUUAGCUAGUUGGUAGGGUAACGGCCUACCAAGGCUACGAUGUUUAGGGGACCUGAGAGGGUUAUCCCCCACACUGGUACUGAGACACGGACCAGACUCCUACGGGAGGCAGCAGUGAGGAAUAUUGGUCAAUGGGCGCAAGCCUGAACCAGCCAUCCCGCGUGAAGGAAGAAGGCCCUAUGGGUUGUAAACUUCUUUUAUAGUAGAAUAAAGUGAUCCACGUGUGGAUUUUUGUAUGUAUACUAUGAAUAAGGAUCGGCUAACUCCGUG